UACGAAGGGGGCUAGCGUUGCUCGGAAUCACUGGGCGUAAAGGGUGCGUAGGCGGGUCUUUUAAGUCAGGGGUGAAAUCCUGGAGCUCAACUCCAGAACUGCCUUUGAUACUGAAGAUCUUGAGUUCGGGAGAGGUGAGUGGAACUGCGAGUGUAGAGGUGAAAUUCGUAGAUAUUCGCAAGAACACCAGUGGCGAAGGCGGCUAACUGGUCCGGUUCUGACGCUGAGGCGCGAAAGCGUGGGGAGCAAACAGG
rnacentral:rRNA from 1 species